GGGAACGUGGGGCCAGCUGCUGCUGGUGAAGUGUUUGCAGGAUUCAGGGAAAUCUGGGCCUUUUUGAGCCACUAUUUCCCUGUUGUUCAAGCUCAUGAGCAAGCUCCAGUUGAGUUACUUGCACUUCUUGGACCAGGUAUUCUGUGUAGCAGCCCAGGUGCCAUACAGAUGUCAAGAGAUGCUAAUGAGGCCGCUUCACUUUGCACCGUGACCCUGGCACGGCGCGUGCCAGCACCAGCGAGGGGAUGGACUGGAGCAGCUGCCCUCCCCAGGGCCAAGCCAUUAUCACCAAAACUACAGAAAACCCCAGAUCUUCCUGCUGAAGAAUGGCUGAAGAGACCCAGCACCGUCCCAGCCACGUCACUCCAGCCACUGUGAAAACUCCUUCUGGUCUUUGGUCCUGUUCUGGGAAGCUCACAUGUGACCCAGGUGUAAUUGUGGCCUUCACAGCCAGCACUGGUGGGAUUGUUGGGACACCUGCGAGCUGGAAUGUGUCUCACAGGUUGGAAAACGUGCUUUAUAGCUACAUAAAAGGUAAAGAGAAUACAGAGCUGUAAGAUUAUUUUAAAGAGAAGCCAGGAAAAACUAUGGCUGUGACUGCUCAGCAAGCAGGGAAUUUAAUUCAUAAAACAAAUGUGUUUGAAAACAAAAAACCACGAUGCUCCCUGCUUUCUCAUUGAUUUUUCAUGUCAUAUAACUCACCUUUGGUGCACUCAGUUAUCCAGAAAGGGUUUUCGUACAGUAAGCUAUUCAUGUGUACACACAUAUAGAUAUUUGAGGUAUAAUUUCCCUGCAGUAACUUUGUAUUCCUGCAUGAAGCUAAAUGAAGAAUUGACCCCAAUUCUUUGACUGCACAAGAGCAGGAGGCCUAAUGGCUCUCCUGUGCUUAGAUAUAUUUGCUGAAAGGAGUUUAAUAACAUAAUAAUGUUGCUGCCUUCCGCUGUCAUUUCUUAGGUUUUCUAUCAUCUGGUUGAUUGGAACGCAUUCCCAAAAGAGUUCUGGUAUUCUAGUCCAUUUCCUAAUCCAAUAGUUUCAUUACUUAUGUAAUUUUCCUCGUCCUGUGGGGGAAGGACAUGCAUAUUAUUGUUCAUUCCAUGCAGAUUUGGAAAUCAAAAUCAUAUCAUAGUCCCAUUUCCCAUCCUCCCUCUACUUAAUUCCCUUUUAUCUGGUCACUUGGAUGCCAUCAUGCUGGUACUUUCUUACCAAGGAAGUUGUGUUAUCAAAUAAAUCAAAUUUUUUUGACAAACAGUGGAGGCUUUAGGAGAUUGCACCACGUUCACCACCCCAGCUGCUGAGUUUCCCUGAUUGCUGUCGUAGUUUUGUUGCACUAAUCAGCCACAAGAUUAUAACAGUCAUGUAAGGCAAGCAAUUACUAGGUUUCCUGGGAUAGUCCAACCACAGGGACUAUUCCUAAUUUAAAGGAGCUGUAACUGCCAGUGUACAUGUAUGUAUUUCUCUUAAACAUUUCUAACUAUAGUUAUGAAGUGAAAUAAUAAAUUGUAUUCCCUCUUGUUCUCCUGCCUAAGCCUGGAAUU